rnacentral:rRNA from 1 species
GUCGAACGGUAACAGGAAGCAGCUUGCUGCUUUGCUGACGAGUGGCGGACGGGUGAGUAAUGUCUGGGAAACUGCCUGAUGGAGGGGGAUAACUACUGGAAACGGUAGCUAAUACCGCAUAACGUCGCAAGACCAAAGAGGGGGACCUUCGGGCCUCUUGCCAUCGGAUGUGCCCAGAUGGGAUUAGCUAGUAGGUGGGGUAACGGCUCACCUAGGCGACGAUCCCUAGCUGGUCUGAGAGGAUGACCAGCCACACUGGAACUGAGACACGGUCCAGACUCCUACGGGAGGCAGCAGUGGGGAAUAUUGCACAAUGGGCGCAAGCCUGAUGCAGCCAUGCCGCGUGUAUGAAGAAGGCCUUCGGGUUGUAAAGUACUUUCAGCGGGGAGGAAGGGAGUAAAGUUAAUACCUUUGCUCAUUGACGUUACCCGCAGAAGAAGCACCGGCUAACUCCGUGCCAGCAGCCGCGGUAAUACGGAGGGUGCAAGCGUUAAUCGGAAUUACUGGGCGUAAAGCGCACGCAGGCGGUUUGUUAAGUCAGAUGUGAAAUCCCCGGGCUCAACCUGGGAACUGCAUCUGAUACUGGCAAGCUUGAGUCUCGUAGAGGGGGGUAGAAUUCCAGGUGUAGCGGUGAAAUGCGUAGAGAUCUGGAGGAAUACCGGUGGCGAAGGCGGCCCCCUGGACGAAGACUGACGCUCAGGUGCGAAAGCGUGGGGAGCAAACAGGAUUAGAUACCCUGGUAGUCCACGCCGUAAACGAUGUCGACUUGGAGGUUGUGCCCUUGAGGCGUGGCUUCCGGAGCUAACGCGUUAAGUCGACCGCCUGGGGAGUACGGCCGCAAGGUUAAAACUCAAAUGAAUUGACGGGGGCCCGCACAAGCGGUGGAACAUGUGGUUUAAUUCGAUGCAACGCGAAGAACCUUACCUGGUCUUGACAUCCACGGAAGUUUUCAGAGAUGAGAAUGUGCCUUCGGGAACCGUGAAACAGGUGCUGCAUGGCUGUCGUCAUCUCGUGUUGUGAAAUGUUGGGUUAAGUCCCGCACCAACCCAACCCUUAUCCUUUGUUGCCACCGGUCCGGCCGGGAACUCAAAGAAACUGCCGAUGAUAACUGGAGGAAGGUGGGGAUAACGUCAGUCAUGAGGGCCUUACAACCAGGGGAACGCGGUGUUAAAUGGCCCAGGAAGAGAAGCAGCUUC